ACGCAUAUUGCGCCCUUUGGUAUUCCGAAGGGCAUGCCUGUUCGAGCGUCAUUAUCAACCAUCAAGCCUGGCUUGUUGUUGGACUUUUACUGCUGAAAUAUGUGGUAGGUCCGAAAAAUAAUGACGGUGUCGUGUUUUGACCCUAAAUGCAACGAGCUUUAUAGCACGCAUUGAAGUGGUCAACCGGCCUGGUCUUAACCAUCAUUUUCUAAGGUUGACCUCGGAUCAGGUAGGAAUACCCGCUGAACUUAA
rnacentral:misc_RNA from 1 species